rnacentral:rRNA from 1 species
UACGUAGGGUGCAAGCGUUGUCCGGAAUUAUUGGGCGUAAAGAGCUCGUAGGCGGUUUGUCGCGUCUGCUGUGAAAAUCCAGGGCUUAACCCUGGACCUGCAGUGGGUACGGGCAGACUAGAGUGCGGUAGGGGAGAUCGGAAUUCCUGGUGUAGCGGUGAAAUGCGCAGAUAUCAGGAGGAACACCGGUGGCGAAGGCGGAUCUCUGGGCCGUAACUGACGCUGAGGAGCGAAAGCAUGGGGAACGAACAGG